rnacentral:misc_RNA from 1 species
ACACCUCAACUCUCAUGGCUUGCCAUGAUGAGCUUGGACUUUGGGGGUCUUGCUGGCCUGCGGUCGGCUCCUCUAAAAUGAAUCAGCUUGCCAGUGUUUGGUGGCAUCACAGGUGUGAUAACUAUCUGCGCUUGUGGUUUCCAUCAGAUAACCUCCAGGGAUGGGGGUUCGCUGGAGCUCAUAAAUGUCCCUCCUAAGUGAGGACAGCUCUUUUAAC